GUCCCACGGGCGGCGGGGCGGCAUGGAGCAUGGCCAUGUGGGGGCCACUGCUGCUUUCCAAAGAGGCUUCAGCAUCUGCACAGGGCAGCCUGGCAUCACCAGCAGCUCCAGCUCUGCCCAGAACUGCCCCUCAGUGCCUGGGCAGCUGGGCACUGGGGACACCCCUGCACAGACACCCACAUAAGCCCCCAAAAGCCCCCCACUCAUGCCCGAGGUCACGCCCUGGAUGUUGGGGGUGUGCUUUCCACGAGGACAAGCCGUGUGGGUGUUGGAGCCCGCAGCCGGCCACAUGUCACCUGUCCUGUCCCCCUGGCCAAGCCGGAAGGACUGCUGUUAAGGCGGUCCCCAGGGCUGAGCCUGGGCCAAGCACGAGGGGCGGGCGGGCGUCUGUGCCUAGCCACAUGCCCCGGCUUUCUGUGUCUCCCCUUUCAGGGUCUCCCACUCAGUGAGUAUCUAGGUAUUUGCAUCUCAGUUCCCUGUUUCAACCACA
rnacentral:lncRNA from 1 species